rnacentral:rRNA from 1 species
AACGAACGCUGGCGGCAUGCCUAACACAUGCAAGUCGAACGAAGUCUUCGGACUUAGUGGCGCACGGGUGCGUAACGCGUGGGAAUCUGCCCUUGGGUACGGAAUAACUCAGAGAAAUUUGUGCUAAUACCGUAUAAUGUCUUCGGACCAAAGAUUUAUCGCCCAAGGAUGAGCCCGCGUAAGAUUAGCUAGUUGGUGGGGUAAAAGCCUACCAAGGCGACGAGCUUUAGCUGGUCUGAGAGGAUGAACAGCCACACUGGGACUGAGACACGGCCCAGACUCCUACGGGAGGCAGCAGUGGGGAAUAUUGGACAAUGGGCGAAAGCCUGAUCCAGCAAUGCCGCGUGAGUGAUGAAGGCCUUAGGGUUGUAAAGCUCUUUUACCCGGGAUGAUAAUGACAGUACCGGGAGAAUAAGCCCCGGCUAACUCCGUGCCAGCAGCCGCCGUAAGAC